rnacentral:rRNA from 1 species
AUGCCGCCGCGCCGCCGGGGUUCUUCGGGCUACCGCGGCGUCCGCGAGCGCCCCAACGGCAGGUACUCCGCGGAGAUCCGGUCCGGCGACGUCUGUCUUGGCCACGGCUCGUUUCAGAGCGCGCACGAGGCAGCUCGCGCAUAUGACGCGGCGGCGUGGCGCUUGGACAGGCCCCGGUCGCGGGUGAACUUUCGCGGCGUCUUCACGCGCGAGCAGGCGCAGCGCGUCGCUCCUCCGCCGCGUCUAAUCACCGACCAGGACCGUGCGGACCACGUGCGGCAGCAGCGCCGCCUCCUCAUCGUCGAGGAGGACGAGCGAGCCAUGGCGGAGUGGCGCCGUCCCCACCCGUAG